UUUUCUGCUCUUAUUCUAACCUUCAUAAGUUUGCUAACUUGUCUGCCUUCCUUUCUUCCCAUCAGUUCAUUUUGGUGAUACUUGUUGAAUGAUUUCUUUAACCGGAUUUAGAGAAAACCCUGCUUUACUUCAUUAUUUCCCCUCCUUACACUUGUUGACUUUUAAGAAAACUGUCAUUGUGCUUUACUUUACUCAGGUGAGACAAAAGUGAGUCCCCUAUGCAGCUGUAUGAGGGAUAGUUUUGUAAUACAUUAAUUCCACUUCCUCUUUAUCAGUUUUAGAUUGUCUUCAAGUAUACUGUUUUAGCUUAGAUUUUUGAAAGAUACAUUGCUUUCCAUUUGCUAAGUGAACAUGAAAUAUAACUGCAGAAGUAAGUAGUUGAUAGGAAUGAAAAACUAGUACUAAGAAUGUUAAUUCUAUUAAAAUUCAAUAGAGCAUGAUCCUGUAAAGAGGACAGAUGGAAGAAUAUGUGUGCUGCAGAAAAAGACUGUUGAGCUGAUGAUUUCUGUUUGGGAGGAUGGGGUGACACAUUUUAUCUUGCUCUUACUGCUGUACCAAAGCACUUGUACAUUUUAUCCUUCUCUGGUAACUCUCUCCCUAAUCUCAAACAAUGUAAAAGUACUGGGUACUUAAUAUAUUUUUACUUAAUUUAAGGGGGAGAAUCUUCCUAUUUUACACAGAGGUAAAAUAUCAGACAAUUGGAAUACCCUUCCAAGUUGAAGAAUAUUAGCCUACAAACAGGCUUCCAAGUUUCCUUAUUCAAUAUUAUAUUCCUAUGACAUCUGUAAAGAAUUAGCACUUGUUUCAGAUUAUUUUUCUGUGUACAUUAAUUACUCCUCUAUACCAUCAUAAAAUAGUCAAUUUUUCAUAGUCUCAGUUUAUAUUUUCCUGAAAGAAAGCAAACUUAUCAGCAAUAUAAUAAAUCGUAGCUUCAAGUUAAGGUGGGAGGGAAUAAUUUUAGAGCCAAAUUUUGCUCUCAAUUACACUGAGAUAAACCUGGAAUCACUCUGUGAAAGUCAGAGGAGUGGUAUCCAAUUUCAUUGGUAUAAUUGAGUGUAUAAUUUGUGUCUUUUAAUUUUACUUGCAAGGUAAUUUUACAAACCUGUUAUACUUACAUUUCCAAUGCUUUUUCCUUUCAGACACACCCACUUCUUGCGUCUCAGCAUUGGGCAGGCCUAUUCCUUUAUUUGUGUAUAUUUUUGUGCAUCUGCUGCUAUAGGACACGGGUGUAACACUUUCAGGCAUGUGGUUGGGUGUCUUUUUGGGGUUUGUAAUAAUGUCUACAAAUAAUUUUUUUUUUCCUCAGAUUUAUUCAUUAAUUCAUGUUGGAUCACAGUUUUGCAUCUCUAACCUGAUUUUAGAUAUAUAUUAUGUGAAGACUUUAUUGAAAGAAAUACAGUACUAGUUCUUUGCAGAGUCUGCAAUUCAUCUUCGGUGGGGAGAGUUUACCAAAAUGUACUGCAUUCUGUAAUAGUUAAAGUUGUAAUAUUUAAUGUGGUUUCAAAGGUGGUUUUACAGAUCAUGCUCCUUCCUCUUUAUGGAGUGGCUUUCAAAGCCUUGUGUUGAUCUUGGUUGUGCCCAGUGCUUUGCCUAGUGUAUGGGGAAAUGUAGAACUUGAAUAGGCCAUGACUUCUUAGACAAGGGAUGAUGAUUACAUGCAUGCUGAACUAGAACUUCUUCUAUAUGCCCUUCUGCUGCAACAGAAUAAUAAAACUGGUAGGUGGCAGCAGCAGCAGCAGAAGACACUCAUGACUGUGACCUGAGAACCUCCAGUACUGGGAGAAAUGGAUUGCAAAAUACUAACUGGAGUAAGGGGAAUGGAGAAGAGAGGCAGAGUCCCUGAACUGUCCCUUUGAAUGGAAUCUAAGGCGUGUGGAAGAUGCUGGAUCACCAGGUGCAGAGAUUGAACUCUACCCACUGGAAAGGUAACAGGAACUAGAUUUUAUCUUCAGAACACAACCCACACUGCAUCUCACUCUUUGACCUGGAAAGGCCUUUUCCAAGGUCAGAAGAGGAGUUUGGUACCCAUGGCUUAGUCCUUGGUGUGUCUUGUUGCAGCUAUCAGGGAAGCCAGAUAGGUGCUGGAUACGGCGAUUUUUUUUUUUUUUUAUGAUGUCUGCUUGCAUUUCUGAUGUUCAUAUUGUGGAGCAAAGGUUAACUUCUUCAAUGAUUUGUUUCUUUAGGUUUUUCUACAGCAGCAGCAGGUCUUCUCUUGCCUCUCAUGGGAGCACUUAGCCUUUUGAUAAUGCCUCCUUAACAAUGAAGGGAAGAAAGGAUGGAUCAGCACGGAUGUGCAAUGGAGUGAUGUCCACAUGUGGUGUUAACAGUCAUGAUGAUCCCUGUCCCACUAACUUGGAGAAUUGAAUAAAAAAGUUGAAUUGUAAUUCA